rnacentral:rRNA from 1 species
GUCUUUUUGAAUAUAAUUUAAAGUCUAACCUGCCCAAUGAAAUUUUAAUGGCCGCAGUAUUUUGACUGUGCAAAGGUAGCAUAAUCAUUAGUUUUUUAAUUGAAAGCUAGAAUGAAUGGUUGAACGAGAAAAAUUCUGUCUCAAUUUAAUUUAAUUAGAAUUUUAUUUUUAAGUUAAAAAGCUUAAAUUUAAUUAAAAGACGAGAAGACCCUAUAGAGUUUUAUAAUAUAAAAAUUUAUUAUUUAGAAUAAUUAUAAUUUUUUUUUAUUAUUUUAUUGGGGUGAUAAAUAAAUUUAAUUAACUUUAUUAAUAUUUAAACAUUAAUAAAUGAUAAUUUGAUCCAUAAAAAUGAUUAAAAGAUUAAAUUACCUUAGGGAUAACAGCGUAAUUUUUUUAGAGAGUUCAAAUCGAUAAAAAAGAUUGCGACCUCGAUGUUGGAUUAAAAUUAAUUUUUGGUGUAGAAGCUAAAAAAAUUAAGUCUGUUCGACUUUUAAAAUUUUACAUGAUCUGAGUUUAAACCGGUGUAAACCAGGUUGGUUUCUAUCUUUAAUAAAAAUUAAAUAUUUUAGUACGAAAGGACCAAAUAUUUAUUAAAUUAAUUUUAUAUUUGAAUAU